rnacentral:rRNA from 1 species
UACGAGGGGGGCAAGCGUUGUUCGGAAUUAUUGGGCGUAAAGGGUGCGUAGGCGGUUUGGUAAGUCUUAUGUGAAAUCUACAGGCUCAACUUGUAGUCUGCAUGAGAAACUGCCGGGCUUGAGUAUGGGAGAGGUGAGUGGAAUUCCUGGUGUAGCGGUGAAAUGCGUAGAUAUCAGGAGGAACACCAAUUGCGAAGGCAGCUCGCUGGGACGUUACUGACGCUGAGACGCGAAAGCGUGGGGAGCAAACAGG